rnacentral:rRNA from 1 species
ACGGGUGAGUAAUGUCUGGGGAUCUGCCUGAUGGAGGGGGAUAACUACUGGAAACGGUAGCUAAUACCGCAUAACGUCGCAAGACCAAAGAGGGGGACCUUCGGGCCUCUUGCCAUCAGAUGAACCCAGAUGGGAUUAGCUAGUAGGUGGGGUAAUGGCUCACCUAGGCGACGAUCCCUAGCUGGUCUGAGAGGAUGACCAGCCACACUGGAACUGAGACACGGUCCAGACUCCUACGGGAGGCAGCAGUGGGGAAUAUUGCACAAUGGGCGCAAGCCUGAUGCAGCCAUGCCGCGUGUAUGAAGAAGGCCUUCGGGUUGUAAAGUACUUUCAGCGAGGAGGAAGGCGUUAAGGUUAAUAACCUUAGCGAUUGACGUUACUCGCAGAAGAAGCACCGGCUAACUCCGUGCCAGCAGCCGCGGUAAUACGGAGGGUGCAAGCGUUAAUCGGAAUUACUGGGCGUAAAGCGCACGCAGGCGGUUUGUUAAGUCGGAUGUGAAAUCCCCGGGCUCAACCUGGGAACUGCAUUCGAAACUGGCAAGCUUGAGUCUUGUAGAGGGGGGUAGAAUUCCAGGUGUAGC